GCAAGUCUGGUGCCAGCAGCCGCGGUAAUUCCAGCUCCAAUAGCGUAUAUUAAAGUUGUUGCAGUUAAAAAGCUCGUAGUUGAAUUUCGGGAUCAAUAUUUCGGUCAUGCCGUUGGUAUGCACUGUUAUCAUUGAUUUCUCACCUUCUAAAGAACCAUAAUGCCAUUAAUUUGGUGUUACGGGGAAUUAGGACUGUUACCUUGAAAAAAUUAGAGUGUUUAAAGCAGGCUCACGCUUGAAUACAUUAGCAUGGAAUAAUGAAAUAGGACAUCCGAUUCUAUUUUGUUGGUUUCUAGGAUCGAUGUAAUGAUUAAUAGGGAUAGUUGGGGGCUUUAGUAUUCAAUUGUCAGAGGUGAAAUUCUUGGAUUUAUUGAAGACUAACUACUGCGAAAGCAUUUGCCAAGGAUGUUUUCAUUAAUCAAGAACGAAAGUUAGGGGAUCGAAGACGAUCAGAUACCGUCGUAGUCUUAACCAUAAACUAUGCCGACUAGGGAUCGGAUGAUGUUAAUUUUUUAAUGACUCAUUCGGCGCCUUACGGGAAAC
rnacentral:rRNA from 1 species